rnacentral:lncRNA from 1 species
CCCUCUGCCAACUGCAUGAACGUACCCUCAUGGCCAAGGUGACCCCAGAAAAACCUUUAAAACAGAGUUCCUGAUCAUAACAGGACAGGAGGGCAGACAUGCCUCAUUAAACUCCCUCCCUUUUGAAGUUUAGACACAACAACCGACCAGCAUUGAUGUUAAAGAAGAGAUAUCAAGACUGACAGAAAGGACUUUUUGUGGCAAAAAGGUAUCAAAAGAUAAACAAGACCCAAGGCCAUGCCAGGUAAACCAUCACUGGCCUACAGAUAAGCAAUAUUAAAACAACUGUAGCUCACCAUCAGACACUGAAUAACUGAUCCCCGUUCCACCAGCUUUGAUUGGAUAAGAGACUGAUUUCAGUAACUUUCUCCUGAUAAGAAGACCGCCAACCAUGGACUGAUUCUGGCAGGCUUUCAGAGGCUGCACACUUGCAUGACUUCGUGUCUUGAAAAGAGCUUUUGACAUAUAGGACCUAAUUAUAAUACAUUUAAGUA